rnacentral:miRNA from 12 species
UUCUCUUCAUCCAAAGCCUAGU